UGGGAGCCACUGCGGUACUCGUGCUCAAAGGCAGGCAAGACCAGCUGGUGGCGUUUGAAGCGGCUCUGCUCCAUCCUGGAGGCUUGCAAUUUUGCCUGCCCCAUCAGUUGGCAGCACACCCACCUCGAAGUGAGAGACCAUAGCAUCCAUGAGCUCCUCGCAGAACGGAGGGUUGGCCUCAAAGGAACCACUCAGCGGGGUGAAGUCCAGGCAGGGCCUAAAGAAAGGGACCAGGACACAGAGCAGGCGACCGUUUGCUCUCCAUCGCCGCCCCCUACCUGGGAUGUUGUUUUCCUUGAGGACAGCAAGGUGCUUUUCUCGGAUCCGUUUAACAUAUUCCAGGGAGAUGUGGUAGAUCUUGCUGCAGAUGCCUUCCACAGAGUCCUUGGCUGCAGCAGAGACAUGGGGCCCACACUGCCUCCGAAGGUGCUCCAGGCGGUCCUGAAGAAAAGCCCUCAUCAGGACACUGAUGGCCAAAGGGCCUCUGAUGGUGGGGCUACUGAGUCCCAGACGCCCCAGCUGGGAAAGUAGUUCUCCUGUCUACUAGCCAUGCUGCUUGGACACGUCCCUUGCUCCUAUUAAUCUUGCUCCUAUCAAGGUAAUUCAAACUAGCAAAUAGGACAUCCUGAGUAGUCACUGUCAUCCCCUCAUUCACAAGGCCAGUCACGUGAGCAGUCCACUGGAUGGCUGCAGUUUCUGUUGCUGCUACAUUGGCAGAACCCAAGAUGAUUGGUGGAGAAAGAGGCAGGCCAGGCAAGCGCCAGCUUACAGCACUGGCUGUGGACUAGGAAGGCUGCCACAUCCCAGGGAGCAUGGCUAGGGCAUACUUCAAAGGCUGUGCUUUUAGGUACUUAGAGAGAUCCCCCACCCUCACCCUGACCCCGUGAUGCGCGAUCGCAGUGUGACAGUGAGUGGCUCUGGAUUAUGCGUGUACCUAUCUCAGUCAACAAGUGUCAGGUACAUUUAUGAUGUGAUCUGUGACACUUGUCUCUUGUGAAACAGUACUGAGAAGAGAACCCAGUGCAAGCUGGAGAUGGUUGAGUGACAGACAUAGGCCAGAGACCACGGUGGCUGAGGAUACACUGAGGAGGGUCGAUCUGAAGGUGGUUUUGUAAUAUUUAUUAGUGUAUGUAUAUGAGUGUUUACUGUCAUUCAUUUUUAUAUGCCACAAGCAUGCCUGGUACCCACAGAAGCCAGAAGGGAGCAUCACAUCCUUUGUAAUGGGAGUUAACGGUUGCAAGCCCCAAGUAGGUGCUGGAAUUGAAGCCCAAUCCAUUGGGAGAGCAGCCAGCUCUUAACUGCUGAGCCAUCUCUCCAGCCCCCUAAAGGUAGCUCUAAUUGUAAUAUGAACACGCACAAGGAAAGGCAGAUCUCUUCUCAAAGAUCUACCGAGGUGACAUGUUGGUCACUCAUCAGGUUGAGGGCAGCAUCUGUAUGUAUCUGAGCUUCAGAUUACAGAAGCAAUGGUAAUGGAGUUGUUCUUUGGGCGAAAA